AGUGAACGCUGGCGGUAGGCCUAACACAUGCAAGACGAACGGCAGCACAGUAAGAGCUUGCUCUUACGGGUGGCGAGUGGCGGACGGGUGAGGAAUACAUCGGAAUCUACUUUUUCGUGGGGGAUAACGUAGGGAAACUUACGCUAAUACCGCAUACGACCUACGGGUGAAAGCAGGGGAUCUUCGGACCUUGCGCGAUUGAAUGAGCCGAUGUCGGAUUAGCUAGUUGGCGGGGUGAAGGCCCACCAAGGCGACGAUCCGUAGCUGGUCUGAGAGGAUGAUCAGCCACACUGGAACUGAGACACGGUCCAGACUCCUACGGGAGGCAGCAGUGGGGAAUAUUGGACAAUGGGCGCAAGCCUGAUCCAGCCAUACCGCGUGGGUGAAGAAGGCCUUCGGGUUGUAAAGCCCUUUUGUUGGGAAAGAAAAGCAGCAGGUUAAUACCCCGCUGUUCUGACGGUACCCAAAGAAUAAGCACCGGCUAACUUCGUG
rnacentral:rRNA from 1 species